ACGGCUCAGUAACACGUAGUCAACCUAACCUAUGGACGGGAAUAACCUCGGGAAACUGAGAAUAAUGCCCGAUAGAACACUAUACCUGGAAUGGUUUGUGUUCCAAAUGAUUUAUCGCCAUAGGAUGGGACUGCGGCCUAUCAGUUUGUUGGUGAGGUAAUGGCCCACCAAGACUAUUACAGGUACGGGCUCUGAGAGGAGCAGCCCGGAGAUGGGUACUGAGACACGGACCCAGGCCCUAUGGGGCGCAGCAGGCGAGAAAACUUUGCAAUGUGCGAAAGCACGACAAGGUUAAUCCGAGUGAUUUGUGCUAAACGAAUCUUUUGUUAGUCCUAGAAACACUAACGAAUAAGGGGUGGGCAAGUUCUGGUGUCAGCCGCCGCGGUAAAACCAGCACCUCAAGUGGUCAGGAUGAUUAUUGGGCCUAAAGCAUCCGUAGCCGGCUCUGUAAGUUUUCGGUUAAAUCUGUACGCUUAACGUACAGGCUGCCGGGAAUACUGCAAAGCUAGGGAGUGGGAGAGGUAGACGGUACUCGGUAGGAAGUGGUAAAAUGCUUUGAUCUAUCGAUGACCACCUGUGGCGAAGGCGGUCUACCAGAACACGUCCGACGGUGAGGGAUGAAAGCUGGGGGAGCAAACCGGAUUAGAUACCCGGGUAGUCCCAGCUGUAAACUAUGCAAACUCAGUGAUGCAUUGGCCUGUGGCCAAUGCAGUGCUGCAGGGAAGCCGUUAAGUUUGCCGCCUGGGAAGUACGUACGCAAGUAUGAAACUUAAAGGAAUUGGCGGGGGAGCAC
rnacentral:rRNA from 1 species